UACAGAGGGUGCAAGCGUUGUUCGGAAUUAUUGGGCGUAAAGCGCGUGUAGGCGGCCAGGCAAGUUGGGUGUGAAAGCCCUCGGCUUAACCGAGGAAGUGCGCCCAAAACUACUUGGCUUGAGUACCGGAGAGGAUGGCGGGAUUCCCGGUGUAGAGGUGAAAUUCGUAGAUAUCGGGAGGAACACCAGCGGCGAAGGCGGCCAUCUGGACGGAUACUGACGCUGAGACGCGAAAGCGUGGGGAGCAAACAGG
rnacentral:rRNA from 1 species